rnacentral:rRNA from 1 species
CUAAUACAUGCAAGUCGAACGCUUCUUUUUCCACCGGAGCUUGCUCCACCGGAAAAAGAAGAGUGGCGAACGGGUGAGUAACACGUGGGUAACCUGCCCAUCAGAAGGGGAUAACACUUGGAAACAGGUGCUAAUGCCGUAUAACAAUCAAAACCGCAUGGUUUUGAUUUGAAAGGCGCUUUCGGGUGUCGCUGAUGGAUGGACCCGCGGUGCAUUAGCUAGUUGGUGAGGUAACGGCUCACCAAGGCCACGAUGCAUAGCCGACCUGAGAGGGUGAUCGGCCACAUUGGGACUGAGACACGGCCCAAACUCCUACGGGAGGCAGCAGUAGGGAAUCUUCGGCAAUGGACGAAAGUCUGACCGAGCAACGCCGCGUGAGUGAAGAAGGUUUUCGGAUCGUAAAACUCUGUUGUUAGAGAAGAACAAGGAUGAGAGUAACUGUUCAUCCCUUGACGGUAUCUAACCAGAAAGCCACGGCUAACUACGUGCCAGCAGCCGCGGUAAUACGUAGGUGGCAAGCGUUGUCCGGAUUUAUUGGGCGUAAAGCGAGCGCAGGCGGUUUCUUAAGUCUGAUGUGAAAGCCCCCGGCUCAACCGGGGAGGGUCAUUGGAAACUGGGAGACUUGAGUGCAGAAGAGGAGAGUGGAAUUCCAUGUGUAGCGGUGAAAUGCGUAGAUAUAUGGAGGAACACCAGUGGCGAAGGCGGCUCUCUGGUCUGUAACUGACGCUGAG